rnacentral:rRNA from 1 species
GAUGAACGCUGGCGGUAGGCCUAACACAUGCAAGUCGAGCGGCAGCACAGGAGAGCUUGCUCUCUGGGUGGCGAGUGGCGGACGGGUGAGGAAUACAUCGGAAUCUACUUUUUCGUGGGGGAUAACGUAGGGAAACUUACGCUAAUACCGCAUACGACCUACGGGUGAAAGCAGGGGACCUUCGGGCCUUGCGCGAUUGAAUGAGCCGAUGUCGGAUUAGCUAGUUGGCGGGGUAAAGGCCCACCAAGGCGACGAUCCGUAGCUGGUCUGAGAGGAUGAUCAGCCACACUGGAAAUGAGACACGGGCCAGACUCCUACGGGAGGCAGCAGUGGGGAAUAUUGGACAAUGGGCGCAAGCCUGAUCCAGCCAUACCGCGUGGUGAAGAAGGCCUUCGGGUUGUAAAGCCCUUUUGUUGGGAAAGAAAUCCAGCUGGCUAAUACCCGGUUGGGAUGACGGUACCCAAAGAAUAAGCACCGGCUAACUUCGUGCCAGCCGCCGCCGUAA